rnacentral:rRNA from 1 species
AUGCCGGCCUUUGUCACUGAUUUACUUCUUCUGGUCAAAUUGAAGGGCGAACUUCCGGAGCUUUGUUGGCUCCAUUCUUUCAUCUCGAUCUGUCAUUUCCAGAUGGGUGGCAACAAUCCCGUUUCGGUCAAGCUUUUGCGAGCUUCUGUAGGUGCUCCAGUGGAGAUGGCGAAGCGGAUCUGCCGCCCCCAAGUUAUUCAUCCUCGGUGGCAACCGCUCUGGUCUUCCGCUGGUACCGUUUACUUGGAUCGUAUUGCAUUUCUAGUUUUUGUUCUGGGGUCCUCUAUGGAAGAUGCAAGUUCAAAAAAAUCACUUAUAUUGUGCACAGGUCAUCCAUGUAAACCAGUUGAUGUAGCUAUCGAACAACACGUCCUAAAUCUAACAAAACUUACUUCUUGCAUAAACGCUUUACAUGAGAUUAAGCUAGUCCGCAUGGAUUGA